UACGAAGGGGGCUAGCGUUGUUCGGAUUUACUGGGCGUAAAGCGCACGUAGGCGGAUUUGUAAGUCAGGGGUGAAAUCCCGGGGCUCAACCUCGGAACUGCCUUUGAUACUGCAAAUCUCGAGUCCGGAAGAGGUGAGUGGAAUUCCUAGUGUAGAGGUGAAAUUCGUAGAUAUUAGGAAGAACACCAGUGGCGAAGGCGGCUCACCGGUCCGGUACUGACGCUGAGGUGCGAAAGCGUGGGGAGCAAACAGG
rnacentral:rRNA from 1 species